rnacentral:rRNA from 1 species
UACUAGAGUAGCACUCGCAUAUCAAUAAGCGGAGGAAAAGAAACUAACAAGGAUUCCCCUAGUAAUGGCGAGUGAAGCGGGAAGAGCUCAAAUUUGAAAUCUUAAAGGGUUUCCCUUUACGAAUUGUAGUUUAAAGAAGUGUUUUCUGUUGAGGUUUUGGUAAAAGUUCUUUGGAAUAGGACAUCAUAGAGGGUGAGAAUCCCGUAUUUGACCUUUACUUUCAACUUUGUGAUACACUUUCAAAGAGUCGGAUUGUUUGGGAAUGCAGUCCAAAAUGGGUGGUAAAUUUCAUCUAAAGCUAAAUAUUGGCGAGAGACCGAUAGCGAACAAGUACCGUGAGGGAAAGAUGAAAAGAACUUUGAAAAGAGAGUUAAACAGUACGUGAAAUUGUCAAAAGGGAAGCGUUUGACACCAGUGUUGUUUUUCUGAAAAUCAAUUAAAGAACUGUUUAUGCUAAGCUUGUUUAGACUUUAUCAGCUAUACUGUUUAGUUUUGAGCUUUUCUUUAAUGCACUUUUCAGUUAACAAGUCAACAUCAAUUUCUUUUGCUGUAAAAAAGCUUGAGGAAGGUGGCUUGAGAUUCGUCUUAAGUGUUUAUAGCCUCUUGCCUAUGCAGUCGGAGAGAUUGAGGUCUGCAGCGUAGAUCCUUCGGGGCUAAAUGCAUUUGUGCUAAGUUAUAGCAUUUUAUAGACAACUUGUUGACUAUGAUUUGUCUUGUAGCUUACUCGCUUAUGUUAUUUUACCUACGCUUAGGAUGUUGAUCUCUCACAGUCGAGC